UUUCGGCCAUAUCAUGUUGAAACACUAAUUUUCAAAUGAUUACUGAAGUUAAGCAACAUCAAGCCUGGUCAGUACCUGGAUAGGUGACCGCUUAGGAAUACCAGGUGCU